rnacentral:rRNA from 1 species
UGGUUAGUCCGCAACGAGCGCAACCCUUGUCCUUAGUUGCCAUCAUUUAGUUGGGCACUCUAAGGAGACUGCCGGUGUUAAACCGGAGGAAGGUGGGGAUGACGUCAAGUCCUCAUGGCCCUUAUGUCCAGGGCUACACACGUGCUACAAUGGCCGGUACAAAGGGCAGCAAAGCCGCGAGGUGGAGCCAAUCCCAGAAAGCCGGUCUCAGUUCGGAUUGGAGUCUGCAACUCGACUCCAUGAAGUUGGAAUCGCUAGUAAUCGCAGAUCAGCACGCUGCGGUGAAUACGUUCCCGGGCCUU